UACAGAGGUCUCAAGCGUUGUUCGGAUUCAUUGGGCGUAAAGGGUGUGUAGGUGGCGCGCUAAGUCGGGUGUGAAAUUUCGGAGCUUAACUCCGAAACUGCAUUCGAUACUGGCGUGCUUGAGGACUGGAGAGGAGACUGGAAUUCACGGUGUAGCAGUGAAAUGCGUAGAUAUCGUGAGGAAGACCAGUUGCGAAGGCGGAUCUCUGGGCAGUUCCUGACACUGAGGCACGAAGGCCAGGGGAGCAAACGGG
rnacentral:rRNA from 1 species